AUCCAUUUCCCAGAAAGUUUAAUAUUAGCUACUGUGUCAGUUCAGGAGAGGGGGAGAUGCAUAAAUUAGUCAGACGUCUACGUUAUGGGGGUAGUGGUCAAAAAGUGACUUGUUUAUCUCGCAAUAUGAAUUUGAAAGUAUGAUGAAAACGCCUGACAGUCUAUUUAAGAGGCGGUAUCUAUAGUGAGGGGAAGACUGUUCCUCUGCAAAACACUGACGUCUAUAACAGACACCACUGGCAGGUAGUAGUGAUAGUUGCUCUGUGGACAAGAGGCUUUUUCUUUCUGUGAUGAUGGGUGACAAAGAAGCAUGCUUAUUUUUACCUGUUGCUCCUGCUGGGACUUGGAUUAAACACUUUCUGUCCACGCCUAAACACUCACUGGAGGAAGCGUCCCACAGUGACCACUGGUCAUCACACCCAUUUUGCACCAGAAAGAGACUUGUGGUGGCCCUUCUGGUCGUUUUGGCCUUGGUUGUCAUGUUGCUGCUUCUACUGCUCAAUUAUUAUUGCAUUGUGGUCUGGCACCUGUGUCAAGAGGAGGAGUCUGUUGUCCCAAUAUUUCAAAACACUACACCAGAGCUGGAAAAGCAGGACUGAGAUGUUACAUGUUUUCUUGUUUUUGUUUUAUUUGGUCCUUUUAUGCAUUAUGUUGCUGUUUUGUUUGUUUGAGGAACUGAAAUGACAGUUUCCCGUGUGAGAUUUUUGUGUGUAUUAAGGAAAUUAUUCACACAUUCAGGUUA